rnacentral:rRNA from 1 species
ACGGAGGAUGCGAGCGUUAUCCGGAUUUAUUGGGUUUAAAGGGUGCGUAGGCGGGCUGGCAAGUCGGCGGUCAAAUGUCGGGGCUCAACCCCGGCCUGCCGUCGAAACUGCCGGUCUUGAGUGAGCGAGAAGCAGGCGGAAUGCGUGGUGUAGCGGUGAAAUGCAUAGAUAUCACGCAGAACCCCGAUUGCGAAGGCAGCCUGCCGGCGCUCAACUGACGCUGAGGCACGAAAGUGCGGGGAUCGAACAG